rnacentral:rRNA from 1 species
CCCGCACAAGCAGCGGAGCAUGUGGUUAAUUCGAAGCAACGCGAAGAACCUUACCUAGACUUGACAUCUCCUGAAUUACCCGUAACUGGGGAAGCUCUUCGGAGCAGGAAGACAGGUGGUGCAUGGUUGUCGUCAGCUCGUGUCGUGAGAUGUUGGGUUAAGUCCCGCAACGAGCGCAACCCUUAUCGUUAGUUGCUACCAUUAGGUUGAGCACUCUAGCGAGACUGCCCGGGUUAACCGGGAGGAAGGUGGGGAUGACGUCAAAUCAUCAUGCCCCUUAUGUCUAGGGCUACACACGUGCUACAAUGGUGAGGACAAAGAGACGCAAGACCGCGAGGUGGAGCAAAUCUCACAAACCUCAUCCCAGUUCGGAUUGCAGGCUGAAACUCGCCUGCAUGAAGCCGGAGUUGCUAGUAAUCGCGAAUCAGCAUGUCGCGGUGAAUACGUUCCCGGGCCUU